rnacentral:rRNA from 1 species
GACGAACGCUGGCGGCGUGCUUAACACAUGCCAGUCGAACGGAAAGGCCCUGCUUUUGUGGGGUGCUCGAGUGGCGAACGGGUGAGUAACACGUGAGUAACCUGCCCUUGACUUUGGGAUAACUUCAGGAAACUGGGGCUAAUACCGGAUAGGAGCUCCUGCUGCAUGGUGGGGGUUGGAAAGUUUCGGCGGUUGGGGAUGGACUCGCGGCUUAUCAGCUUGUUGGUGGGGUAGUGGCUUACCAAGGCUUUGACGGGUAGCCGGCCUGAGAGGGUGACCGGCCAAAUUGGGACUGAGAGACGGCCGAGACUCCUACGGGAGGCAGCAGUGGGGAGUAUUGCACAAUGGGCGGAAGCCUGAUGCAGCAACGCCGCGUGCGGGAUGACGGCCUUCGGGUUGUAAACCGCUUUCGCCUGUGACGAAGCGGGAGUGACGGUAAUGGGUAAAGAAGCACCGGCUAACUACGUG